rnacentral:tRNA from 1 species
AACUUUUAAAGGAUAGCAGUCAAUCCACUGGUCUUAGAGCCACCCCACC